rnacentral:rRNA from 1 species
ACUCUGCAAACACGUAAGUGGACGUAUAGGGUGUGACGCCUGCCCGGUGCCGGAAGGUUAAUUGAUGGGGUUAGCUUCGGCGAAGCUCUUGAUCGAAGCCCCGGUAAACGGCGGCCGUAACUAUAACGGUCCUAAGGUAGCGAAAUUCCUUGUCGGGUAAGUUCCGACCUGCACGAAUGGCGUAACGAUGGCCACGCUGUCUCCACCCGAGACUCAGUGAAAUUGAAAUCGCUGUGAAGAUGCAGUGUAUCCGCGGCUAGACGGAAAGACCCCGUGAACCUUUACUACAGCUUCACACUGGACUUUGAGCCUACUUGUGUAGGAUAGCUGGGAGGCUUUGAAGCGGUAACGCUAGUUAUCGUGGAGCCAAUCUUGAAAUACCAGCCUGGUAUGUUUGAGGUUCUAACUCUGGUCCCUGAUCGGGAUCGAGGACAGUGUGUGGUGGGUAGUUUGACUGGGGCGGUCUCCUCCCAAAGAGUAACGGAGGAGCACGAAGGUGCGCUAAGCAUGGUCGGACAUCAUGCGGUUAGUGUAAAGGUAUAAGCGCGCUUGACUGCGAGACGUACAUGUCGAGCAGGUACGAAAGUAGGUCUUAGUGAUCCGGUGGUUCUGUAUGGAAGGGCCAUCGCUCAACGGAUAAAAGGUACUCCGGGGAUAACAGGCUGAUACCGCCCAAGAGUUCACAUCGACGGCGGUGUUUGGCACCUCGAUGUCGGCUCAUCACAUCCUGGGGCUGAAGCCGGUCCCAAGGGUAUGGCUGUUCGCCAUUUAAAGUGGUACGCGAGCUGGGUUUAGAACGUCGUGAGACAGUUCGGUCCCUAUCUGCCGUGGACGUUGGAAGUUUGAGGAGAGCUGCUCCUAGUACGAGAGGACCGGAGUGGACGAACCACUGGUGUUCGGGUUGUGUCGCCAGACGCAUUGCCCGGUAGCUAAGUUCGGACGGGAUAACCGCUGAAAGCAUCUAAGCGGGAAGCCCCCUUCAAGAUGAGACUUCCCUUAGGCCUUGAGCCUUCUAAAGAGCCGUUUAAGACUAAGACGUUGAUAGGCGGGGUGUGUAAGUGCUGUGAGGCAUUGAGCUAACCCGUACUAAUUGCUCGUGAGGCUUGACCAUAUAACGCCAAAG